UCUGCCCACUUGUUCUGUGGCUUUCAGAAUAAGAUCCUUUGUGAGCAUUCAGUUCAUUAAAUACAAAACCGCCUUCAUCUUGGGUGCUGGUGCUUCUGG
ensembl:misc_RNA